GCAAACUUGGUCAUUUAGAGGAAGUAAAAGUCGUAACAAGGUUUUCGUAGGUGAACCUGCGGAAGGAUCAUUACUGAAGUACAAGGGGGGAGUGCUGGCCUUGCGCAUGUGCACCCUCCUACCCUUCAUCCACACACACCUGUGCACCAUUCGAGGCGGGUCUUCCCGUGCCUGGAGCAGGUUGAUGGCCUUCACUGGCUGUCGGCCCGAAGUCUUGCCUACACCUUUCACACACACUCUGCCUGUCCCGGAAAGUAGUCGCGGCGACGCCGCAAACCUAUACACAACUUUCAACAACGGAUCUCUUGGUUCUCGCAUCGAUGAAGAACGCAGC
rnacentral:misc_RNA from 1 species